GCCUCCUGCAAAACACAACGUAUAGGAGGUCUUGCCUGCCCAGUGACAAGUUAAACGGCCGCGGUAUUUUGACCGUGCGAAGGUAGCGCAAUCACUUGUCUUUUAAAUGAAGACCUGUAUGAAUGGCGGAACGAGGGCUUAACUGUCUCCCCUUUCCAGUCAAUGAAAUUGAUCUGCCCGUGCAGAAGCGGACAUACAAAUACAAGACGAGAAGACCCUUUGGAGCUUAAGAUACAAGAUCAACUACGUCAAGGGCACACAAAUUAAAGCCAAACUAAGUAAUACCUGAUCAAUAUCUUCGGUUGGGGCGACCACGGGAGAAAACAAAGCUCCCAUGCGGAUUGGGGUCACACCCCUAAAACCAAGAAAGACAUUUCUAAGUCACAGAAUAUCUGACCACAAAGAUCCGGCCAUUCGCCGAUCAACGGACCAAGUUACCCUAGGGAUAACAGCGCAAUCCCCUUUCAGAGUCCAUAUCGACAAGGGGGUUUACGACCUCGAUGUUGGAUCAGGACAUCCUAAUGGUGCAGCCGCUAUUAAGGGUUCGUUUGUUCAACGAUUAAAGUCCU
rnacentral:rRNA from 1 species